rnacentral:lncRNA from 1 species
UGUGACUAUACUAUUAUUGUAUAAAUAUAUAUAUAUAUAUACAAUGUUCAUAAAAUUGUAAAUACUUUUUAUUACUAUUUGGCUUUUUUUUUUUUUGAAUUUUUUUUUAGGUAAAAUAUUAAAAGACAAAGAAACUUUAACAUUUUACAAUGUAGCAGAUGGAAAUACUAUGCAUUUAGUUCGUAGUGCCAUAGUCCCAAAAGAACGUAAUUAAUAUAAAAAAAAAAAAAAAAAAAAAAACUAGACAAGUAUAUACAUAUUAUACAUAUAUGUGAUUAUUUGCACGUCUAUCUAAUUUCGUACGGAUAUAUAUAAGUACGCAUAAAUGUACGCACGCAUGUGUGUAUAUACAUAAUUACCCAAUUUAUAACAUUUAUAGCCGAACCUGAGAAGGAAACUAACAAUAACGAAAACGCAAGUAUCAAUCAAAACACAAACCCAGCUGAUAGUGUUAACGACUUUAACGAGAACCCAUUGGUACAAUUGUUAAUGCAAAAUGGAAAUAGAGAUGGGAACAAUUUCAAUAUGGGUGCAGGAGGUACAGACGGUUUUAACUUAGGAAAUUUCGCAAAUUUAUUAAAUGCAAACGGUGGUGCUGAAUUUAAUAGAGAUAGUAUAAGCUCCUUAUUAAAUAAUCCUUUGGCUAGGUCAUUAAUAAACGAAUUAAGCAAUAACCCUGAAAUGUUAUCUAACUUAAUAUCGAACAACCCUUUGUUAAGAAACACUUUUUCACAAAGCCCACUUAUGCAACCUGUUUUAGAAAACCCCAAUUUAUUAAGAGAGCUAAUGAGACCAGAAGUGUUACAAGCUGGUUUACAAUUUGAAAAUGCAUUUAAUAUGAAUAACGCCAACAACCCAAAUAAUGUUGCAAUGAAUCCUAACCCUAACCCUAACCCAAACGCAAAUACUAAUGUUAAUACUAAUGCAGCAAAUAAUGCUACCAAUCCUACUAAUACUAAUGCAAGAGGAGGACUUAGAUUAGAUGAUUUAAUAAACAACUUAGGUUCUUUUGUUAAUACAAACAAUCCUUCGAACCCUAAUAAUACAGCUGAUAACAACAAUAACCCAGCUAAUAAUAAUUUAAAUGCAUUAUUUCAAUCACCAGAAUUAUUACAAACUUUUCAACAAAUGUUGGGCUCAAAUCGUAACUUCAGUAAUUUUAAUUUCCCAGGUGCUAAUCAACCUAUGGACUUUAAUGCUGCAAAUUUAACAGAUGAUAGACCACCUGAAGAAAAAUACGCAUCACAAUUAAUGAGUUUGCAAGAAAUGGGUUUUAUUGAUAAUGAUGCGAAUAUUCAAGCGUUACAAGAAACAGGCGGAGAUGUUAAUUCAGCCAUAACACGAUUAUUAGAAAAGGGUUACAAUUAGGCUUACUUGUAUGUUUUAUGUUUAGGUACAUGUGCGCGUGCGUAGGUGCGUGAACAUGUUAUGUGCUCUAUCAUGUGCGUGCUUAUUUAUUUAUUUUUAUUUUAUUAUAUAUAAAUGUAUGAAAUUUUGUGAAUUCCUUUACCCAUUCCAUUUGCAUAGAAACUAUAAUGUACUAUAUAUUUUAUACACAAUGUGUACAUACAUAUACAGAUACAUACAUGCGUACACAUGCACACACAUAUAUAUAUAUAUAUAUAUAUAUAUAUAUAUAUAUAUAUAUAUAUANNNNNNNNNNAUAUAUAUAUAUAUAUAUAUAUAUAUAUAUAUAUAUAUAUAUAUAUACAUUAUGUGACUUACCACGCACUAUUUUUAUAUUGCUUGUACAUUGAUAUAGUUUGUGUAUAUUUAUUCUUGAAACAGUUGAAACUAUUUAAAAUUUAAGCACAGUUUUAAUUACUACUAUAUAUGUACACAUAUAUAUAUAUAUCAAUAUCGAGUGUAUUAAUUUUAAUUAGUGUGUAACAACAUAUACAUAUAAAUAUAUACAUAAGUCAUAUCGAACUGUUCCAUAUCGUUUUAUGCCCGUAUAAUUUCUUUACUGUUUAUUAUUUCGUCAUCCUACCUCACAUUCUAAUGUGCUUAUUUUUUGUGUAUAUAAAAAACUUUUAAAGAUAAAUUAUU